GCUGGGUGUGGUGGCGUGUGCCUGUAGUCCCAGCUACUCCGGAGGCUGAGGUAGGAGGAUCACUUGAGCCCAGGCGUUCUGGGCUGUAGUGCGCUAUGCUGAUCAGGUGUCCACAUUAAGUUUGGCAUCAAUAUGGUGACCUCCCGGGAGCAAGGGACCAUCAGGUUGCCUGAGGAGGGGUGAACCAGCCCAGGUCGGAAACGGAGCAGGCCAAAACUCACGUGCUAAUCAGUAGUGGGUUCACGCCUGUGAAUAGCCACGGCACUCCAGCCGGGGCAACAUAGUGAGACCCCCAUCUCU
rnacentral:SRP_RNA from 1 species